ensembl:lncRNA
GGAAGUUCCUAUACAUGAUUUGAGUGUUUCAGAUGGUAGGAGAGUAUCCAUAUACAUGAUUUGUGUUGUCAGAUGCUAGGGAGAGUAUCCUAUAGAUGAUUUGUAGUGUUCAGAUGCUAGGGAGAGUAUCCUAUAGAUGAUUUGUAGUGUUCAGAUGCUAGGGAGAGUAUCCUAUAGAUGUGUAGUGUUCAGAUGCAGGGAGAGUAUCCUAUAGAUGAUUUGUAGUUGUUCAGAGGUAGGGAGAGGUAUCCUACAUGAUUUUAGUGUUCAAUGCUAGGGAGAGAUCCUAUAGAUGAUUUGUAUGGUUCAGAUGCUAGGGAGAGUAUCCUAUAGAUGAUGUUCGAUAUCGUAUGUUCGGAGAGUUGUUAGGGAGGAGUAAUCCUAUAGCAUGAAUUGUAGUGAUAU